UCCCGAGCGUUGUCCGGAUUUAUUGGGCGUAAAGCGAGCGCAGGCGGUUUGAUAAGUCUGAAGUUAAAGGCUGUGGCUCAACCAUAGUUCGCUUUGGAAACUGUCAAACUUGAGUGCAGAAGGGGAGAGUGGAAUUCCAUGUGUAGCGGUGAAAUGCGUAGAUAUAUGGAGGAACACCGGUGGCGAAGGCGGCUCUCUGGUCUGCAACU
rnacentral:rRNA from 1 species